AUGACUCCACAACUGCCGCGGCCUUUCGUUCGUCAGAACCCGGCACGGCGACACGACUGUUACUCCCAACACCCUACGACGUCACGAAACCCGCCCGACACAGUAGAUCGCGCCACCUCCGAUUCUGCUGCACACCAGAAUCUAGUCACGAUCCAUUGCACAACUGAAUUGCAAACCGAAGCCGUGCACACCAGACAUCAACCCCCUUUCUCCGUGUAUAAACCUCUUAGAUCAGUGCUCGCCACGAAUCAUCAGAUCUGCAUCAUCCAAAACCACCGAUCUCAACCACUAAUCUCAACCACCGACCGCAGCUCCUCCACCAUACAUUCAAAGCCCCGACCACGUACAAGCCGUCGCAGGGAUUUUCUUCCGACGAUCCAUUGUCACGAUCCAACUUCAGGACAAUCGUACAAGGUUUUUUCUUCCUAUUUCUCCCUAUUUGAGAGUUGUGUGUUUAAUAAUUUUGGAUGA